GCCCUCUGAUGAAGUACCUCAAAAGCUAAGCUCCCAUCAAUCCUGGAGAGAUAGAAUCAGCAGAGCAUAGUGGCAGAAUGAAUGGUUUAAAAGGAACAGCAGCGACCAAAGAACUUUUUAUGCAGAGAAACCCCAAAUCUGGGGCAAAGCCCUCCUGUUCAUUUUAUCUCACACAAGGACCAAGUGACCCCAGCUGCAGCCGGAGU
rnacentral:lncRNA from 1 species